CGCGGCCUAUCAGCUUGUUGGUGAGGUAAUGGCUUACCAAGGCUUCGACGGGUAACCGGCCUGAGAGGGUGACCGGUCACACUGGGACUGAGACACGGCCCAGACUCCUACGGGAGGCAGCAGUGGGGAAUAUUGCACAAUGGGCGAAAGCCUGAUGCAGCGACGCCGCGUGAGGGAUGACGGCCUUCGGGUUGUAAACCUCUUUCAGUCAGGAACAAGCCUUCGGGUGAGGGUACUGGCAGAAGAAGCACCGGCUAACUACGUGCCAGCAGCCGCGGUAAUACGUAGGGUGCGAGCGUUAUCCGGAAUUAUUGGGCGUAAAGAGCUUGUAGGCGGUUUGUCGCGUCUGCUGUGAAAGCCCGGGGCCUAACUCCGGGUCUGCAGUGGGUACGGGCAGGCUAGAGUGAUGUAGGGGUAACUGGAAUUCCUGGUGUAGCGGUGGAAUGCGCAGAUAUCAGGAAGAACACCGAUGGCGAAGGCAGGUUACUGGGCAUUUACUGACGUUGAGAAGCGAAAGCAUGGGGAGCGAACAGGAUUAGAUACCCUGGUAGUCCAUGCCGUAAACGUUGGGCACUGGGUGUGGGGAGCAUUCCACGUGUUCCGCGCCGUAGCUAACGCAUUAAGUGCCCCGCCUGGGGAGUACGG
rnacentral:rRNA from 1 species